CGCGAAAAGAAAGACUGAAAAUGCCAUCUGACCAGUUGAAGGGAAUCAGGGGAAGCUUUCUAAAGGAAGUGGCAUUUGGUCUAUACGUUGAGGGGCAGGUAAAUAUCUGAGUGGAAUGACUGGAUCAUAUGGUACAGUCAUGUGCCGCAUAAUGACAUUCAGUCAAUGACAGACUGCAUAUAUGAGGUGGUCCUGUAAGGUGAUAAUGGAGCUGAAAAAUUCCUACUACUGAACGACAUCAUAGCCAUUGUAACAUCAUAGCACAACCAAUCACCUUUUCUAUAUUUAGAUAAGGAGUUCAUAUGCUGGAAUGAUAGUGACACAGGAGUUUAACACUCCUACAGUAUCCAGAGCCUGGAUCCCUGAGUCAUCAGAUGGAGAAGAACUACUCAGGAGAGUCAUCCAACCUUCAUAGACAGUGGCAUGAGUGGGAAUUAAAC
rnacentral:lncRNA from 1 species